rnacentral:hammerhead_ribozyme from 1 species
AUCCAGCUGACGAGUCCCGAAUAGGACGAAAUGCGCAUCCUGGAU